rnacentral:rRNA from 1 species
UACGUAGGGGCAAGCGUUGUUCGGAAUUACUGGGCGUAAAGGGCGCGUGAGGUCGGCAUGGCAAGUCAGGAGUGAAAAGGCCUGGGCUCAACCGAGGAACUGCUUUUGAUACUGCCAAGCUAGAGUGCGGAAGGGGCACUGGAAUUCCCAGUGUAGCGGUGAAAUGACGUAGAUAUUGGGAAGAACACCUGAGGCGAAGGCGGGUUGCGUGGGCCGACACUGACGCUGAGGCGCGAAAGCCAGGGGAGCAAAGCGGG